UCUAGUGGCACGUGUGGCAAAGCAUGUAGGCACAGUGGCAUUGCGUGCAUCGACACGUUACAAUUUUAUUGACACGUGUGUGAUCGCGCGUGUGGUGGUGUGUGGUGACUUCGGUGACCGAGACCGUGUGUCCAAGAAAAAAUUAGUUCUUCCUUCGUGUUGUGUCAUUUUUGAAAUUAUUCAUCAUUUAAUACGUGUGUUUUUCUAUUUAUAAUGAAAAAAAUUAUCCGAAUGAUAGCCAGAAUUAGAGAGGACUGUAGACCCAAACCCAGUAAGAAUUCUGAUACCUU
rnacentral:lncRNA from 1 species